AUUGAACGCUAACGGCAUGCUUAACACAUGCAAGUCGAACGGCAGCACAGUCGUAGCAAUACGAUGGGUGGCGAGUGGCGGACGGGUGAGUAAUACAUAGGAAUCUGCCUUGUAGUGGGGGAUAACCCGGGGAAACUCGGGCUAAUACCGCAUAAUCUUUACGAAGCAAAGUGGGGGACCGUAAGGCCCUACGCUAUGAGAUGAGCCUAUGUCGGAUUAGCUAGUUGGUAGGGUAAAGGCCUACCAAGGCGACGAUCCGUAGCUGGUCUGAGGGGAGGAUCGGCCACACUGGGACUGAGACACGGCCCAGACUCCUACGGGAGGCAGCAGUGGGGAAUAUUGGACAAUGGGCGCAAGCCUGAUCCAGCAAUGCCGUGUGUGUGAAGAAGGCCUUAGGGUUGUAAAGCACUUUUAGUGGGGAAGAGAAGCUCAUGGCUAAUAUCCAUGAGUGCUGACGUUACCCACAGAAAAAGCACUGGCUAACUCUGUGCCAGCCGCCGCAGUAACAC
rnacentral:rRNA from 1 species